UUUGCCCGGGAUCGCCUCCCACCAGCGCGUUGCGCCCGUGGGGGCGUUUGUG
rfam:Marinovum algicola DG 898, complete genome.